rnacentral:rRNA from 1 species
AUUGAACGCUGGCGGCAGGCUUAACACAUGCAAGUCGAGGGGUAUAGGUUUUCGGACCUCGAGACCGGCGCACGGGUGCGUAACGCGUAUGCAACCUGCCCCUGACCGGGGAAUAGCCCGGAGAAAUCCGGAUUAACGCCCCAUGGUAUCUGGGAGUGGCAUCACUCCCCUAUUAAAGGAGACGGUCAGGGAUGGGCAUGCGUCCCAUUAGCUAGUUGGUAAGGUAACGGCUACCAAGGCGACGAUGGGUAGGGGUCCUGAGAGGGAGAUCCCCCACACUGGUACUGAGACACGGACCAGACUCCUACGGGAGGCAGCAGUGAGGAAUAUUGGUCAAUGGGCGCAAGCCUGAACCAGCCAUGCCGCGUGCAGGACGACGGCCCUAUGGGUUGUAAACUGCUUUUGUACGGGAAGAAACACUCCUACGUGUAGGGGCUUGACGGUACCGUAAGAAUAAGGAUCGGCUAACUCCGUGCCAGCAGCCGCCGUAA